AUUUGAGGGCGAUGUGGCUGUAACAUGUCUUCCUACUGAUUGCCAGGGUGAUUUAGCUGAUCUCGCUGGCCAGACAGGUGUCCUCUUCCUCCCUCACGCUUCCAAAUGCGUCUCUCCUAAAACUGUCAAAGAGAAGACCACCUUCCCUGAGAGGGGAGGGCUGUUCUUCAUCAAAGGUAUAUGAGUACCUGCACUCCCCUCCUACAGCCUCCAAACAGCUCUCAAGAAAAAACUAUUUCAAUAAAGCAGGCUAGCAAAAGGAAGUAAGAGAUACGGUACAUGAGAGUUAGAUUAUGUGUAACGUAAGUCAAAGACAC
rnacentral:snRNA from 1 species